rfam:Thalassiosira oceanica strain CCMP1005 To_g35868, whole genome shotgun sequence.
AAACCGGAUUUUCUAAAAUCCACCCAACAAUCAAAGUCAUGAACCUU